rnacentral:rRNA from 1 species
ACGCUGGCGGCAGGCCUAACACAUGCAAGUCGAGCGGCAGCACAAGGGAGUUUACUCCUGAGGUGGCGAGCGGCGGACGGGUGAGUAAUGCCUAGGGAUCUGCCCAGUCGAGGGGGAUAACAGUUGGAAACGACUGCUAAUACCGCAUACGCCCUACGGGGGAAAGGAGGGGACCUUCGGGCCUUCCGCGAUUGGAUGAACCUAGGUGGGAUUAGCUAGUUGGUGAGGUAAUGGCUCACCAAGGCGACGAUCCCUAGCUGUUCUGAGAGGAUGAUCAGCCACACUGGGACUGAGACACGGCCCAGACUCCUACGGGAGGCAGCAGUGGGGAAUAUUGCACAAUGGGGGAAACCCUGAUGCAGCCAUGCCGCGUGUGUGAAGAAGGCCUUCGGGUUGUAAAGCACUUUCAGUAGGGAGGAAAGGGUGAGUCUUAAUACGGCUCAUCUGUGACGUUACCUACAGAAGAAGGACCGGCUAACUCCGUGCCAGCAGCCGCGGUAAUACGGAGGGUCCGAGCGUUAAUCGGAAUUACUGGGCGUAAAGCGUGCGCAGGCGGUUUGUUAAGCGAGAUGUGAAAGCCCUGGGCUCAACCUAGGAAUAGCAUUUCGAACUGGCGAACUAGAGUCUUGUAGAGGGGGGUAG